UCAACUGCUAGAGGAAGUUGUUAACUGUCCUGUUGAAGAUAAGCUGAAAGAAUAUUUUUGGCGUUACUUGUUUGCAAGUCGAAAAUUUCUCUUUUACAAACUUACUGCCCCUCCAAGGAAAAUUGAAAACCUAAUUAUAAUUGUCAUCCCUUUAGAAAAGGAAAAUUUUGGUAGUCUUUCCUCCGUCAGAGAGAAAUUAGCACCAGAAAUUUUGCAUUCACAGACUUUGCAACAAAUCACCCAAAGUUACGGAGAAGAAAACUUUGUGCUGGUUGCUUGUUUCGAACUCCGCUGGAAGGCCUUGACAAAUAACAGAAUAGUCUGAUAAACACGUGCAUCGCCUAUACUUUGCUUAUCAGACUUUUGCUAUAUGCAAGAACCCGGCCGACCUGUCCGCCCUCCAGUAUGCCUUCCUGGAGCGUAUAGGCUACAAGCGCCACC